rnacentral:tRNA from 1 species
GGAGUUGUAGCUCAGUGGUAGAGCGCUUGCCUUGCACCUGCAGGACCCUGGGUUCGGUCCUCAGCACCA